UGCCCAGUACUUUUUUAACAUUUGGAUAUUUUAAAUAAUAUGGAGGUAUGAACUUCCCCCUUAAAUCUUUAACUUUAUAAUUGGUACAUAUACAUAUAUAGUGGUACACAUCCCCAAGACCAGCUUUACAAAGUGGACAAAUUCUCUCAUUUCGUGGUACAUUUCUCCAUCUUCCUGUUUCAAUGGGAAACUUUGUAUUACAUACCCUUAAUUUACAUAUAUUUACUCUAUGACCCCGCCUUAAUUUUAACAGAUAUGGUUCUAAGCAAAACUCUUCUUCAAAGUGUAAAUAAAAUUCCCCCCUUGAUGAGUUAUUUAUAUCAGAGAACCAUUUUUGAAUAAACUGGUCCUGGAGACGCUGCCUCACAUUAGUUUUAAUAUAAUUAUAAUCAACUUGCUCCGGAAUAUUAUAUAUUUCACAAAAGCCACAGUCAUUAAACACAGAUUUUACAUAGUUAAACCAUUUGAAAUUAUAACCUUCAUGCUCAUGCAUGUACCAAAGUAACUUGUACAGUUUACCCGAUAAUUUUUUAUCGUUUGUUGCAAGCUUGUGCCAAAAACAUACCAUUUUUAACUUGAUCUGCAGUUCAAGUGGAAAUCUUCCAAGUUCUCCAUACACCAUAAAAUUUGGCGUAGAGGAUCGCACCCCCAAAAUGCGCUUACAAAACUGUAAAUGUAAUUUUUCAAUAUUAUUUUUAUUUUCAAACCCCCAUAUUUCCGAGGAAUAGGUCAAAAUAGGAACCACCAAUGCAUCAAAUAAUUUUAACUGUAAAUCAAUCGGGAGUGAGAUAUUUUGUAUCUUCUUGUAAAGAGCAUAAAGUGCUUUUUGAGCUUGGUCUACCAGUUUUUUUCGAGCUUGAAAGAAAUUUCCGUUGUAAUUAAACAGCAGACCAAGAUAAACAUAUGAAUCUUUAAUUUCAAUAAUUUCAUUACAUAGUUUAAAAGUAACAUUCUUAUUAAACUUUCUCUUUGAAAAAAUUACAAUCUUAGUUUUUGAUACAUUCACAGUGAGUUUCCACUCAAAACAAUAUUGCUCAAAAACAUUCAGAGCCUUUUGCAACCCUUCUGCCGACUCCGCAAAAAUAAUAGUGUCGUCGGCGUACAGAAGAAUAAAUAACUUGAUAUACAAAUCAAGAUUCUCUGUAAAUUUUUCGUUCAUAAAUGUUAGACCUUCCACAGAGUUUUCAUCCAGAUAUUCUUCCAAGUCAUUCAGGUAUAAGGCAAAGAGAAAAGGUGACAUUUUUUCUCCCUGUCUUACACCUACCUCACACGGGAAAAAAUCUGUUUUUAGUUCUCCAUUUUUAACACAAGACUUAAUAUCCGUAUACAUGCUCAAUAUAACUUUAAACAUUUUCCCACCAAUGUUAUAUUUUAAUAAUUUUUGCCAUAGUCCCACCCUCCACACUGUAUCAAAAGCUUUUUUUAAAUCUACAAAAGCGCAAAAUAAUUUCUUUCCCGAACUCAAAUAUAGUGAAAUUAAAGCAUGCAUGAUAAACAUACUAUCUUGGACAGAAUACCCCUUACGAAAACCACCCUGGGCAUCAGUUAUAAUCCCGAUCUCGUCUGACAGAGCAUUAAGUCUUGAAUUAAGUAUAGAGGUGAACACUUUUCCUAAAUUCGAUGUAAGACAAAUAGCUCGGUAAUUAUCCAAAUUAUUUGGAUCCCCCUUGUUUUUAAAUAACGGCUUAAUGAUACCAAUAAGCCAUGAUUCGGGAACGAUUCCAGAAUCAAACACUAAAUUGAAUAACUUAGUGUAAAUAGGCAAAAAUUGAUUCACCGUGCUUUUUAUAUAUUCGUUGACAAUCCCAUCUUCCCCUGGGGCUUUGCCAUUACAUAAUUUUUUAACAGCUGACAAUAUUUCGUCCUCUGUAAUUUCCUGAUCUAUAAUUUCAAUAACCCCCUGACUUUUUAUACUAUUAACUAAAUCCUCAAAAUCAAUAUCAUCAUCUGGAACAUCGCUCUUAUUUAAUGACUUAAAAUACUCAUAUAAUUGAUCAAUAGUAAUUUGGAUAUCUUUAUCAGACCCCCCUCUAUCCAAUCUUUUCAAGAUUUUCCAAAAUUUACCAGAAUCUUUUUUCGAAAGUUUACGCAUGUCAGAUUCUAGUGCAUGUUGAAAACUCUCAAAACU
rnacentral:lncRNA from 1 species